CGGUCGCCACAAUCUGCAGCUACGCUCUGUGUCCGCAUGAAGAGGGUAGGGGAUAAGGAGUGGGCUGAUGGCUCCAGGAAUAUGUAGACCUGGCGGGUCCAUACCCAGCUGUAUAGCCCAAAGGCUGCUGCAGUAGUAGCCCUGGUACUGUCUGGCUAAGUAUUUCUAAGGGUCCUCUCAGUGAGGUAUCUGAGUGAGGACACAACUUUCCCCGCUCUGUCUGAAGGCUGUCGCAAAGAGAUGGGUCUUGUAUCUCACGCUGUUGGGGUAGGGUCCAUGGUCAUCCCAUCCCAUCCCCCUCCCUACACCCUGUGGGAAGUAGUAGUAAUAACAACCUCUAGCUGUUAUCAUCCAGAGAUGUCCAAGCACUUUACAAAGGAGGUCAGGAUCCUUAUCCCCAUUUUACAGAGAGGGGAAACUGAGGUGCAGAGAGAGGGCGUGGCUUCCCCAUGAUCACCCAGAAGGCCAGUGGCAGAGCUGGGAAUAGAACCCAAGUCUCCAAAGUCUCAGUCCAGUGCUUUGUCCACUAUGUGUCAUUAUCCCUAAUGUACAGGUGGGGAAACUGAGGCACGGUGAGGCAAAAGGCCAGAUCCCAUGAGGUGUUGAGCAGUACCCAUUGCCCUCAGUGAAGUCAGUGGGACAUGAGGGCAUUCAGCACCACAAGGGAUUGGGCCCUAAAGUCCCAUCCUCCUGUGACAGAGUCAUGGCAGAGCCAGGAGCCCUACAACCCUUGGUCCCUUGCUGUAACCCUGAAAUACCUUUUAAAUGUACUGAACUGGGUCUCCUGGUUUUACAGGAUUUUCCUCACUAGCCUUGCAUCUUCCAAAGGGAACCUGCCGUUUUAAAUCCACGACCAGAGUCACCAGUUCACUCCCAGCAUGAGCCCAGUUUCACUGGCCGGUUCUGCCGGGUUGAUUGCAUGGCCAGAGUUGUGCAAGGCUGCUGGAAUAUACCUCGCCUAUGGCUGCAUUCAAAUUCUCUUGAACACGGCACCAAGCUGGUUGGGGGCUUGGACACCACCCACGUGGGUCUCAGACUGUCCUUUUUUGGUGGUUAAAAGGGAUCGUGGAGCGAGACCAACUGAAUUCAAACCUGACCAACUGUUUCGAAGUGAAACAACCUCCCCGGAUAUUCCGAGGGCUUCAACUUCAGAGCUGGGGUCAGCAACUCAGCAUGGCCUAAUGGAGCCUGGGAAACCGGAGCCUCAUCUGCACUAGAGGUUAUUUUUGAAGAUGUCCCACCACUGCUGCUCCCCUGACUUCAGUGGGAGUGGAACUGCAUCUCUGGGAGCUCUUCCCGGACAGAAAUGCCUUCGCUGCUCAGGGAUCAGUGCUCUUAAUCUAUUCCAGCCCAGUGCGUUGCCAUUAGAAGCGCUGUUAUGAUGUGUUUGUAUUCCAAUAGCACUAAAUGCCCAUGCCAGGGUAAGUGCCCUGUUGUGCAAGGUGCUGUACAUACACAUAGUGAGAGACAGGCCCUGCCCCAGAGAGCUGACAGCCAAAGUACACAAGACAGACUCACGAAGGGAGCAGAAUAUCUACAGACAGGCACCUGAGACAGAGAGACGAAGGGCCAGAUUUCCAAAGGUAUUUAGGUGCCUAAUGGUGCAGGGAUCAAAGGUGACAAGAGCAACUCACUUCCAGCAUGCGGAUGUCAUUGUGGACCGUCCGGGCGUUGAAGUGCGGGUGCAUGACGGAUUCCCGGAUGCUGAAGAUCUGCUGAGAGGCCUCCUGGUGUUUCAGGGAGUGAGCCCCCAGCACGACGCGCACGGCGGGGGAAUGUCUGAAACGCACAGCGAGAGGGAUUGACAUCAGCACGGGGCUGUAGCCAGGAACAGGCUGGAGAGAAUAAGGGGCUGGGAGCACAAAAUGGGGGGCAUGCCCACCCGAAAGGGGCAGGGGCUGUGCUGGGAUUUGAACCUGUGUCCCCAGUGAGGGUAGAGAUUUCAGCGAGGUGCUUCGGUUUUGUUGGGCUAGGCUAAGGGCUCCUGGGAAGGUCCCUGAGCUGAGCCGUGGGGCAGGCUCUCCUCUGCCCCUUGCAGUGAAUGUCAGGGGAGCAGGGUUUAUUUCACAUCCUCGGGGAAUGCAGCCAUCGGGUCCCCCGAAGCGCCGGGACUUACCUGGGAAUCACACAGUGAGCCGCCGUCAUCACCCACUUGCGCCAGACCAGGAAUCCCCCGCAGACAUGUCGGCCAUCCAGCUGGAUGGAAGCAAUGUAGGGCCGGGAAUGGGGCUUGACUUCCUUCCCCCCGAUAAUCCAGCUCCCCAGGGCACCUGUCCCAAACCAAACAGCUGUUUUUUGGGGGGAAAGAAUCCACCCUCCAAAAUGGAUGAUCUCGAGGUGGGGCUAGGCAAGGAUUCCCAAAGGAGCAGCUAGGAUUAUCCUGGGACCCACAGGGCUGUGGGAAUGGCUGGGUCAGAGCCCUGGGGGGACGCACCAGGGGCUGGAUUGCGCAACCCUGACUCAGACGAGUCGCCCCCUAGGGGUCAAAUCCGAGUCUCGCACACGUGGGUGCAGCUCCAUUCACUUCCCUAGGGGCUGUACCCACUCGUGGGGAGGUGACGUCUCUCCCCCAGCCUGUGGCACACCCAAGCUCAGCUAUUCCUGGUGCCCAGACCCAGGUGGAGGACAUGAGCUCAGACCUCUCUCUAGGUACUUACACGCAGGGAAGUCCUGGCCCCACUGACAUCCAUGGCCAUUGUCAGAACGCUGCUUGAUAUUUAAAGCAUUUCUCGUCACACCUCCCUGGGAGGCAGGGCUCUCGUCCCUCCUUUUACACCAGGGAAACCGAGGCAUAGAGCUGAAGCAACUUGCCCAAGGUCACCCAGUGCCUCGGAGACAGGGCUAGGCAUUGAACCCAGGUUGACACUGUAACCACUAGGCCAUGCUUCCUCCUAUACUUAGCCACCCACAGCAGCUGCCCUGCCACUUCUCAGCAUCUACUUGCUCAGCCCAGGAGCUUCUGAGCUCAGACACCCUCACAUCAUGGGUCCUCCCCACCAACCCCUACUCCCCCAGAGCGGCAUCCUUUACCUGCCGGGAUGAGAACAAGGAGCAGCAGGCUGGUAUUCCCCAUGCUCUCUCUCU